rnacentral:rRNA from 1 species
GCUACGGGAGGCAGCAGUGAGGAAUAUUGGUCAAUGGACGCGAGUCUGAACCAGCCAAGUAGCGUGAAGGAUGACUGCCCUAUGGGUUGUAAACUUCUUUUAUAUGGGAAUAAAACAGGGUAUGCAUACCCUCUUGUAUGUACCAUAUGAAUAAGGAUCGGCUAACUCCGUGCCAGCAGCCGCGGUAAUACGGAUGAUCCGAGCGUUAUCCGGAUUUAUUGGGUUUAAAGGGAGCGUAGGUGGUUUGUUAAGUCAGUGGUGAAAGUCUGCGGCUCAACCGUAAAAUUGCAGUUGAUACUGGCAGUCUUGAGUACAGUAGAGGUGGGCGGAAUGUGUGGUGUAGCGGUGAAAUGCUUAGAGAUCACGAAGAAAGCCGAUUGCGAAGGCAGCUCACUGGACUGCAACUGACACUGAUGCUCGAAAGUGUGGGUAUCAAACAGGAUUAGAUACCCGGGUAGUC